CUUUGAUGCUGUGACCUAGGUCAAUUCUACCAUAAAGGAAAAGAGUAUCCUUGUAUAUGUGGACAUAAUAUAUAUUGAUGAAAAAAGCCAAAACUCGGUGGUUUUCAAACUCAAGAGACAAACACAGGAUGAGUCUACCCAGCCAGAAAAGUAAGUUAUCAAAGGUAAGCAUAUUCAUUUUUUUUUUUCCUUGUGGGAGUGUAUUUUUUAUUGUUGUCUAACAAAUUACCAAAAACUUAGUGAAUUCCACCACCACCUACUUGCUAUCUCAAGGUCUAUGUAAGUCAUGAAUCUGGGCACAGCUUAACUGGGUUUUCUUAAAACGCUGAGAUCAAGAUGUCGGCCGAGGCUGGUUUCCUAUUUGGAGGCUCAACUAAGGAAAGGUGCUCCCAUGCUCACACCACUUGUUGGCAUAUUUUUCUUGUAGCUGUCAGACUCACAGGAACUUGAUUCUUCAAAGCUAUCAAGAAGGGCAAGACUCUGGAGUAUAUCCGCUAGCAAGACAGGUCUUUCAUAAUGUGAUGUAAUUGUGGGAAUGAUACUCCUCUAUCUUUGCCGUAGAACGUACUGCCAUGAUUAGAGUGGCAUCCUACCACUUUUGUCAUAUUCUAUUGGUGAGAGGCAAGUCGCAGAUCCUUACCACCUCCUUGAAGACCUUGAAGUUCCUCCUUCCAGGGAAGAUUACACAAGGGCCUGAACAGCAAGAGCCAGGAUUGUGUGGACCACCUUAGAGUCUGUUCGUAAUGGUGAACAACUUUGAAAUCUCUCUCCUUGCACUGCUUUUCACUUGAAUAAUCAAGGGAACCAGGGACUUGGGAAAAUGUAAAAUAUGAAACUCAUUCACCUAAAAAUAUUCCUCUCAUUUCAGCUGGAGAACCUGAUACAGCACCCCAAGAGGGAGGCCAGGCUCACCAACUCUACCCUCCACACCCAUCCAUAUGACACAACUGAAGAAAAAUGUUCUCUACCUGGAGAGAAACACAGAGAGCAGCAUAGAAUGAACCACAUUCCUAAGUGGGAGAUGACUGCUCUCACCAGGGAAACCAGGGAUACCGGGGGCCCAUUGGAAAUUGCUUCUUGAAGCAGAUGGGCUUUGAGCCUUGUCUUGCUGUGUGGAUUGUAAUAUUUAACCUUUACCACCAGGAUGCCAGGUGCCAGGCUGGAACUCUCCAACACCAAGGGGAAGGGAGGCCUGCAAUCCCUCCUGGUGGGCAGGACGCUUCCUGGGGCACCGUGUCGACAAACGCUUGUCUAAUGGCACAGAUGUGCGGCCGCUCAUGACCAUUGGCCAUUAGCCAAGUGGCAGCUCUAAUCGAAGGCCCCAAAGGCCGAGGGAAUGACAACAACAAAAAAAGAGCGCUUUAUUUGCUCCAAGAUUUCCAUGCCCCCACAAGGAACAGAGAGGAGCAGCGGACUCUUUAGGAUCGUUAAGAGUCAUGUGGAUUUGUCAAGUCUUCGACCCUACAAAUGCAAGCGUGGAAGAGAUACUCAAGGACAGCCCGCCCAUAAGUGCAGAGCCUGGAGCACAGAAGAUGCUAUGAAACCGUAAUGUAAGGAGGGGGAUAAAGAUAACGUGCAGGUACCUUCAAUUUUUAACAAGAAUCACUAAAAUACCCAGUUUCCACUUCAUAAGGCUAUUUCCAUGUUUUGGGCAACAGCUGGUCCCACUUUACUGCUGUGGGUACAGUGAGUUCUAGUAAAUGCUGUGUAAUAGAUGUAUUCAUAC
rnacentral:lncRNA from 1 species